rfam:Aedes aegypti strain Liverpool supercont1.15 genomic scaffold, whole genome shotgun sequence.
GGCUCGGUAGCUUAGUUGGUAAGGCGCACGUCUAUCAUACAAGAGUCCUGGGUUCAAAUCCCAGCCGAGCAC